CUACGGGCGGCUGCAGUGAGGAAUUUUGGACAAUGGGCGAAAGCCUGAUCCAGCAAUACCACGUGAGUGAUGAAGGCCUUCGGGUUGUAAAGCUCUUUUAGCAGGGAAGAUAAUGACGGUACCUGCAGAAAAAGCACCGGCUAAUUCCGUGCCAGCAGCCGCGGUAAUACGGAAGGUGCUAGCGUUGUUCGGAUUUAUUGGGCGUAAAGCGUACGUAGGCGGUUUAGUGUGUUAGAUGUGAAAUCCCAGAGCUCAACUUUGGAAUUGCAUUUAAAACUGCUAGGCUUGAGUGUAGUAAGAGAUGGCGGAAUUUCUAGUGUAGGGGUGAAAUCCGUAGAUAUUAGAAGGAACACCAGUGGUGAAGACGGCUAUCUAGGCUAUUACUGACGCUGAGGUACGAAGGUGUGGGGAGCAAACAGGAUUAGAUACCCUUGUAGUC
rnacentral:rRNA from 1 species